UAGCGCUCAGGGAAUGCUGGUCACCCCACCCUAAUCUUGUUAUGCAAAUAGGCUUCCCACUUGGCGGGUGCUGUCUUGUCCACUCGUUUCUGUACACAUGGGUGGCAAAAAGAGAAGAUGGAGCUGCCAUUUAGAACAUGCCUAAUCCCAGCUUCAUCUUGCUGAGCAAAAAUGAAGGAGCCUGGACCCAACUUUGUUACUGUGAGAAAGGGUCUUCAUUCAUUCAAGAUGGCAUUUGUUAAGCACCUACUGUGAGUAGAUGAUCUCCUGUCAAAGACAGUUAACAAAUCCUCGGAAUAUUGCUUCAUGUGCAGUUAUUGGAGAUGAGUAACUUACAUUCUCUUAAUUGUAAUGGUUCCUUGGAAAGUCAUCGUGGAAAAUGAAGGCUGGCUCAUACAUUUUCCCAGACAGGAAUUUGGCUGCCAACAGGGAAUUCUAAACAACUAAAAACUCCAGAUGAUGAACGCACAACAUAAUGAUGGUUAAAUUAAAAAAAAAAAAAAAAGAGCACGACAAACCUUGGAAAUCAAGAAAGUUCUGGAAUGAUGAAGCUGUUCAUGCCAAGACCGAAAGUGCUGGCCCAGUAUGAGUCCAUUCAGUUCAUGCCGUGACAAUUUUCUUGGAACUCCUUUUUAUUGUUAGUUCUCAUUUGUUUCCAUAUUUAGUGAAUGUACAUUUAAUUGCAAAGCUGUCAUUAAUAAAAAUUCUUAUAGUACCUCA
rnacentral:sRNA from 1 species